AGGACGAACGCUGGCGGCGUGCUUAACACAUGCAAGUCGAGCGGAAAGGCCCUUCGGGGUACUCGAGCGGCGAACGGGUGAGUAACACGUGAGUAAUCUGCCCCUAGUUCGGGGAUAACCUCGGGAAACCGGGGCUAAUACCGCAUAAUAUCUUUGAAGUGGAAAUUUCGGAGAUCAAAGGAGUAAUUCGCUUGAAGAGGGGGUCGCGGCUGAUUAGCUAGUUGGCGGGGUAACGCCCACAAGGCUUAGAUCGGUA
rnacentral:rRNA from 1 species